GACUGACAUUAUAGCAAUUCUGAGAUCGAAUAUUUCUUGAAUCUCUUAUAAAAGAGCUCCUGUGCUGGCUGGGUCAGAAUAUCUGAGCUGAAUUCUCAAAGGGUUACCAAUACAUUCUCUCUGCAAGUCUACAGAAAGGCAAACAUCAUGAAGUCUUUACUGAUCUGCUUUUUCCUUGUGAGUGCAGCUUCUGCCAUGAUAAUGUUCCGCCACCCCUUCCGCCGACCUGGGUCAAGAUGCUUUGAAGAACAAGGGAUGUACUACAGAGGCCGGAUGUACCAAGACGGGCACUAUGUUUACAAAUAUCUCUACGUGUUUCCUCCAGGACAACAUCCAAAAUACCACGGAUUAAACCGUUACCAUCCUGUUGUGUUAGCGGACAAAGAAAUGGCGGAGGAAAACGAAGAAAUUGUGACUCAACAACAGGAAGGUCAAGAAAAUGCUUCCUGAACACAGAAGUGUAAAUAAAAACGUAAAAGAGAUAGGUAUCAAGAUUAAGAACUGUAUGUUAAGACCUGUGCUGUAGUGAAACGGGAUUGUAGCAAUGUAAGCAAAUAUAAAAAGGAAAAAAAUAAAACCAUCUUUAGAGGAAUGCAAGGCAAUACAAUCUGUGAUGUCUCUGCAUUGUUUAAAUAAAUGUAUUUAAUUAUUUUUCGUAUU
rnacentral:lncRNA from 1 species